rnacentral:rRNA from 1 species
UACGUAGGGGGCAAGCGUUGUCCGGAUUUAUUGGGCGUAAAGAGCGUGUAGGCGGCUAGGUAGGUCCGUUGUGAAAACUCGAGGCUCAACCUCGAGCUGUCGAUGGAAACCAUCUGGCUAGAGUCCGGAAGAGGAGAGUGGAAUUCCUGGUGUAGCGGUGAAAUGCGCAGAUAUCAGGAAGAACACCCGUGGCGAAGGCGGCUCUCUGGUACGUGACUGACGCUGAGAUGUGAAAGUGUGGGGAGCGAACAGG